UCCCCUAGUAACUGCGAGUGAAGAGGGAAAAGCUCAAAUUUAAAAUCUGGCAGCUUUGGUUGUCCGAGUUGUAAUCUGGAGAAGUGUUUUCAGUGCAGGACCGUGUACAAGUCUCUUGGAAUGGAGCAUCAUAGAGGGUGAGAAUCCCGUCUUUGACAUGGACUACCUGUGCUUUGUGAUACACUCUCAAAGAGUCGAGUUGUUUGGGAAUGCAGCUCAAAAUGGGUGGUAAAUUCCAUCUAAAGCUAAAUAUUGGCGAGAGACCGAUAGCGAACAAGUACCGUGAGGGAAAGAUGAAAAGCACUUUGGAAAGAGAGUUAAACAGUACGUGAAAUUGUUGAAAGGGAAACGCUUGAAGUCAGUCGCGUUUGUUAGAACUCAGCUUGGCUUUUGCUUAGUGUACUUUCUAAUGAACGGGCCAACAUCGAUUUCAGUCAGUGGAUAAGGGUAAGGGGAAUGUGGCACCCUCGGGUGUGUUAUAGCCUCUUAUCGUAUACAUUUACUGGGAUCGAGGUCUGCAGCACUUGUGCUUAGGAUGUUGGCAUAAUGGCUUUAAUCGACCCGUCUUGAAACACGGACCAAGGAGUCUAACAUGCCCGCGAGUGUUAGGGUGGUAAACCCUUGCGCGUAAUGAAAGUGAAAGUUGGGACCUCUGUCAUGGGGGGCACCGACGCCCGGUCCUGAACUUCUGUGACGGUACUGCGGUAGAGCGUGUAUGUUGGGACCCGAAAGAUGGUGAACUAUGCCUGAAUAGGGUGAAGCCAGAGGAAACUCUGGUGGAGGCUCGUAGCGAUUCUGACGUGCAAAUCGAUCGUCAAAUUUGGG
rnacentral:rRNA from 1 species